GAUGAACGCUAGCGACAGGCUUAACACAUGCAAGUCGAGGGGCAGCGGGGGCGGAAGCUUGCUUUCGCCCGCCGGCGACCGGCGCACGGGUGAGUAACACGUAUCCAACCUGCCGAUGACUCGGGGAUAGCCUUUCGAAAGAAAGAUUAAUACCCGAUGGCAUAGUUCUUCCGCAUGGUAGAACUAUUAAAGAAUUUCGGUCAUCGAUGGGGAUGCGUUCCAUUAGCUUGUUGGCGGGGUAACGGCCCACCAAGGCAUCGAUGGAUAGGGGUUCUGAGAGGAAGGUCCCCCACAUUGGAACUGAGACACGGUCCAA
rnacentral:rRNA from 1 species